GAAAAAUAAAAAAAAAUAAUCUGCAUUCAUGAUUGGUUUUUAGCUGAGAAAUAGCCUAGGUUAUGUCAUAACCUAAAAUUUAAAGUUGCAAAAUAACCUCAUAUCUUCCACAGUGUACAUUUUUUCAAAUGAAAACUUACAGGCUUCUUCAGUGAAAAUUUGUACCAAAAACAGUUAUGUUGAAAACACUGGUAACAUUUGCUAUCGGGUUUUACUCUGGCGUGUAUGCUGCACAAAACUAUGAGAUACAAAGAGUAGAUGAUCCUGGGACACUGUGGCAAAAGUUGCUCAAGUACAUGGAAGAUGCGGGGAAGAAAGAUAAAUAGAAUGUGUAGAAUAAGUAGCUGUAAUUGUAUUAAAUUAUGUACUGUAUAUAUAGGAUAAUUUAUUUAAUUGGCGAUAUUUGAUUUGAGAUUGUUCAUUUAGACAUCCCACUAUGUGGUAUGGUCAUAUUAAAAAUUCCUUGACAUUAUUAUUUUGAAGCUACUGUGUGUAAAGAUUAUACUAUAUACACAUAUGUAAUUUUAUUACUGCCAUUCUGUUAUUGCAUUUUACUGUACUAUUAAAAUACAAUCAAUGUU